UGGUUUUUUUGGGACUUGGCAUGAAAGUUCAGAAGACAAAAGAAUGCAGCAGGGAAGGGAAGACUUCUCCUGCUGUAGUAGUAAAAAAUGUAGCAAAAGGAAACAGCAAGCGUCACUCAGAAAGAGCACUAUGCUAAAGAAAAAAGGAAAAAAUAUUCCUUUUUGUUUUCUUCUGUAAGGGAGAGAGAAGUUACUAAGUGGAUAUACCAUCAAGGCUUUAAAAUAUUUGGCAAAAGAAGAAAAAGUAAGUUUGUAUCAUAUAACACUAUGAAAAAUGAUAAAAUAAAAUAGAACUUUUACAUUUAAAAGAAGCAGCAUGAGAUUAAAAAUCUGAACUCAGAGUAGCAGGUUUUCGGGGGAGGGCUUUACACACCAGUGCAUGUGCCGAAUUUCAGCAACUUUAUGGCUAGGUACCUACCAUGAGGUUAGGUCCUUAUAUAGAUCUCACCCAUCUAAACAACACUUGUGUCCAACAACUCUAGAGUGAGUAGAUUCAAAAAGUACCAAAUUGGCCCUGCUUGUUUGUCUCUCUACAGGCUCAAAAGCUAGAGCAACAUACAUACAAAGAUUCUUUGAUAUGACUAAUGCUAGGUUUGAAAAGAAACUGCAAAAGAAUGGGAACCGGAAAACAACCCAUUUUACGAGUAUCUCACAAACACAAACAAAAGAGCAAAGGCUUUUUGUUUGUUGAGAAAUUGCCUAGAAAUCAGAUGCUUUGUCCGAUGGGUCAGCUAGUCGGAAGCUAUGAUCUCGUGCAUAAUGGCUAGGAGAAUUAUGAAGAGUUCGGAGAUCCCAUGUUUGUGAGAGGAAAGAGAGAUUUGAGACUUGACUUUGGUGACAAACGCAGUAGUGGAUCAACGAGUACGGAGGGAAAGCCCAAGAUUUUGUGCAAAUUGCAAAGUUGACCUUGAGAAGGAAUACGAUCAUGUGAAUUACAGUUCCUGGUUUCUGUUGUGAUGAAGAAAUGCAUUCAUGGGUCAAUGGAGUAAGUAGAUCAAGUCUUGUAUCUCAACAAACAUAAAAUUCGUCUUAGUAAAUGGAAGCUCAUAUUGGUUCUUUGGAAGCUCGAGGGACUUGUGGUAGGGAGACCCGUUAUCUCUUAUGUUGUUCACCUUAACAAUAGAACCUUUGAGCAAAAUGAUGCACAGAGCAGUGACAAGAGGUUAUUUGAGGGGUUCACUGCUGCUAUCGGGAAAACAUCGUAGAGUGACAAUCACACACCUAUAUUCAUGGAUGACACAUUGGUGUUCUGCGAUGCAGAUAUUUCCUAGUUGACAUCCUUGAGAUAGAUUCUUGUAUGGUUCCAUAAGUGUCAGGACUUAAGACCUGCCGCAAAAAGUGUGAGAUAAUACUAGUAAGCGAUAUGGACAAUAUUGAAGACCAAGCACGAGUGUUUGAUUGCAGGACUUGACCACUCAUGACCAUUUACUUCAAACUGCCUUGUGUUCUUCGAACAAAGACCAAUCUAUGCGGAACCUGAUAAUUCAAAAAUUUGAGAAGAGACAAGCAACGUGGCAAAUGAGGUACUCGUCAAAAGGGAGAAAAAAGUAUUAAACAAGAGCAUGAUGGAAAAGUAUUGAUCUAGUAUGAUGGGAAAGGUGGAAAGGCUCAUUCAGCAGAUGAAACUGGAAAGUAUCACUUGGUCAAUUGGAGACUAACGACUACAAAAAUAGGGAAGGACCUGAGGUAACAGACCUUUAAGUGGUCAACAAGGCGACGAAUUUCAAAAGGUUGAUCAAUAAGCUCUACAAAUAGAACGCCAUAUUCCAUGGACAUGACUCGUGGAAGUUGGGUGCAAGGAGCUAUGAAGUGUUUACAAUAGUCAUGCUAUCACAUACUUUUGGUGAGGAAGGACUCGGGAUUCCCAUAUGAAUCAACUUAGACUUCUAAAGGCCCACUAGAAAGUGGGCUUCUUUGCUGAGUUGGUGGCAAGGUUGCGGCAGUUGAAAACUUGAAGAAUAUGAGGAUAAUGCUUCAUGCGCAACCUUUUGAAUGAAGAUGUGGAUCACCUCUUGUUACAUUGGCGAGUGGCUGCACGACUAUGGCGGGUAGUUCUGAAUUGGUUCAGGGUACAUUCAAUGACGUUAUGCCAACUAGAGCAUGCGCUACAUGGCAGAGCCUUUAAAAGAAGGAAGAGAAGAUGUUAGAGCAUAUGAUGACGCCCACCUAACUAUCAUAUGGGUCCUGUGAAAGAGAAAAAAUAACAUAACUUUUGAGGGGAUAGAAAAUGACUUUCUAUAUUUUUGCUUUCUCUUUUUUAAGGGUUACCACGAGGCUUGAGGUUUGGAGAUAGACCUGGGAAUCUAAAUGUUUCAAGUUAAGCAAGACUAAAACAGAAUACUUGGAGUGCAAAUUCAGUAACGGGAAUCAUGAAGCGGACCUAGAUGUGAAGCUUGAUACUCAAGUUAUCCCAAAGAGAGGCAGUUUCAAGUAUCUCGGAUCUAUAAUCCAAGGUAACUAGUAGAUUGAUGAGGAUGUCACACAUUGUAUUGGAAUGAGAUGGAGGAAAUGGAGACUCGCAUUUGGUGCUCUAUAUGAUAAGAAUGUAUCACCAAGACUUAAGGGUAAAUUCUACAGAGUGGUAGUUAGACCAACUAUGUUGUAUAGGGUUGAAUGUUGGCCAAUCAAAAACUUCUGUGUUCGGAAGAUGAAAGUAGCAGAAAUGAGGAUGUUGAGAUAGAUGAGUGGGUGUACCAGGAGAGAUAAGAUUGGGAAUAAAGUUAUUCCAGACAAAGUGGGAGUUGCCUCUGUGGAAGACAAGAUGUGGGAGUCUAGGAUGAGAUGGUUCGGGCAUGUUAAGAGGAGAAACAUUGAUGCUAUUGUUAGGAUGCGUGAGAGGUUGGUCAUGGCGGGUUUGAGAAGAGGUUAAGGUAGGCCAAAAACGUAUUGGGGAGAGGUGAUUAGGUAGGACAUGGCGCUGUUUCAGCUUACUGAGGACAUGGCCCUUGAAAGGAGGGCGUGGAGGUCGAGAAUUAGGGUAGAAGGUUAGUAGGUAGUUGAAAGUUUUCCUUUUUCUUACCAGUAGUAUUAGUAGCACUCAUGUAUCUUCAUAUUCUUAGAUCUAUAUUACUUCAUGUUAUUUAGUUCCCUUCAGUUAUCGUACCUCACGACCCUUGAAAGGAGGGUGUGGAGGUUGAGAAUUAGGGUAGAAGGUUAGUAGGUAGUUGAAAGUUACCCUUUUUCUUACCAGUAGUAUUAGUAGCACUCAUGUACCUUCGUAUUAUUAGAUCUAUAUUACGUCAUGUUGUUUAGUUCACUUCAGAUUAGGGUAGAAGGUUAGUAGGUAGUUGAAAGUUUCCCUUUUUCUUACCAAUAGUAUUAGUAGCACUUAUGUACCUACAUAUUCUUAGAUCUAUAUUACGUCAUGUUGUUUAGUUCACUUCAGUUAUUGUAUUUCCCUGUUGUUACUGUUUGGUACUACUACUACUUCUUCUUCUUCUUCUUCACUAAGUAGGGGUAAGGUCUGCGUAUUGAAAAUAACCCCUCUACCUUCACUAAGUAGGGGUAUGUAUUAGGCUUAUGUACCUUCAUAUUCUUAGAUCUAUAUUACGUCAUGUUGUUUAGUUCACUUCAGUUAUUGUAUUUCCCUGUUGUUACUGUUUGGUACUACUACUUCUUCUUCUUNUUCUUCUCNCUAAGUAGGGGUAAGGUCUGCGUAUUGAAAAUAACCCCAGUCGUGGGAGGCAAGGCACACGNNNNNNNNNNNNNNNNNNNNNNNNNNNNNNNNNNNNNNNNNNNNNNNNNNNNNNNNNNNNNNNNNNNNNNNNNNNNNNNNNNNNNNNNNNNNNNNNNNNNNNNNNNNNNNNNNNNNNNNNNNNNNNNNNNNNNNNNNNNNNNNNNNNNNNNNNNNNNNNNNNNNNNNNNNNNNNNNNNNNNNNNNNNNNNNNNNNNNNNNNNNNNNNNNNNNNNNNNNNNNNNNNNNNNNNNNNNNNNNNNUACACGCUACCCUUCCCAGACCCCACCUGUGGGAAUGUAUUAGGUUUGUUGUUUUUGUUGUUAUUUUUUUAAGGAGUAGCCAAUAAUUCUUAGUUAGAUUUUGGUGCACCUAAGUAGGGGUAAGGUCUUCGUAUUGAAAACAACCCAUCUACCUUCACUAAGUAGAGGUAAGGUCUGCGUACACACUACCCUCCACAUACCCUAUCUGUGGGAAUGUACUAGGUUUAUUGUUUUUUUUAAGGAGUAGCAAAUAAUUCUUAGUUAGAUUUUGGUGCACCUAAGAGGUUGUUGUUUGUAGAGAAGAUUGUGUCAUUGCAUAGAACUAUACUUUGGUGUGUGCUCUCAUUUUUUUUUUUGAUAAACUACUUUUACACGAGAGUUUUUUCAUAUCAAUAAUAUUAUUUACUUUAUCAAAAAUGAAAUAAAUUAUUAAAAAAGUAAAUUAACGUCAAAGAUGGGAAAUAGGUGAAAAUAGAAAAAGGUAAACGCUCAUAAUAGUCGUCAAGAUGACUAUCAAAAAUAUUUGGAUUAUAGUAUAAGUAAGUUUUUUUGGUUGACAGUCUUUUGCUGGUUCUUUUUUUUUAUAUUUUAAAAAAGAAUUUUUGUUUGACUUUCAGAAUGCUAUUUUAUUUUGUUAACCAAAGAAAUAUGUUUUCCUUCUCUAGUCAACUCUUCAGAAUAACUUCUCUAUGCCAACAAUGGCCUGGGUAUUGAAUUUUGCAAAGAAGAAGAUAACACAAACUAGUGCACGAUGCUAACAUACAAUAAAUUUUUGGUUAUGUUCUUUUCCAAUUUUACUUAUGUUACACUAACGAAAAUGUGAUAGUGAUACCCACCCAAGACCUCGUUUCCCUUCACAUUUCCCUUCCUAAUCCCUCAUUGCUUGUGCUAAGGAGGAAAGGAAAAGAAAAGAAAAGAAAAGAGAAUCACUAACACUUUUACAUAUUCACUUAAUCAAGAAACUUUUAAGUACCACGCCCUUUUUGGAACAUCUCCUCUUAUCCUUCAUCUAUACUUCCAACUAGAUUGAUAACCAUCACCUGUGAUCCACCUUCUUUUAAACUUGAAUGGACCAAACCUUUUUCUUCGUGCCUUUAUCUGAAAGCCAAAUACUCAGCAUCUAUAUGUGUAGCCACCAGUGACUUAUUUAUUUCAUUAUAUGCAAAUCCAAUAUCCUCAUAAACUACGCAAAAUUACUAUAAUGGGUAAUAGAAGCUAACCAAUUUACUUCAUUAACACCACCCAAUAUUUAUUUUCAUAAUGGUAAUCAUGAAAUGAAGACGACCAGACAAAGCUUCUGCAUAAUGUGAUACACCAAAGUGCCAUAGAUAUGUUAAUCACCAAUUAAUAAAUUUUAUUUGGCUCCCCAGCACCGACAAGAGAAAAAUAAAUAAUAGAGAACAUUCUUUAUAUAAUUUUACAUGAAAUAAGAAGAUAAUAUAAAAGUACCUAUGUUGUAACCUCAAUCGGAAUUCUUUUUACUGAUUGACCAGCCGAAAGUCGCAGGAUGGACCUUUAAAAAAAGGUAAAGUAGAAGAAAUUAGCUCAACCACUUUAUUCUCAUUUCAAGCAACGAAAAUUCAUCUCAGAACCCUAAUUCGUUUCAUUCAAAUAGUUCGGUAAAAUUAAUACAAGUAGUCUUUUAACUAGUAAAAUCAAUAAUAAUAUGGACAAUCAAAAAAUACAUUUCCAUAAUCCGGAUGAAUAAGUAUAAUUUCUGUUCUUAAUAACCUAAUCAAUGAAAAAAACCUAUGAAUAUUAAAGUAGAUAUUGAUACGGUACAAAUUCAGAUUUGCUUUAGGUUUACCUUCGAAACAUGGUGAAAGGGGUUGGCGCCCAAAUAAGCUGAUAAAUUGAGGUGAUUUAUUUAUAGCUUUGUCUAAGAGGAAGCUCGCGCCAAUGGCGAACUGAAAAUGCUUCAGCGCGGCGAUUUCAUCUGUUUCUCUUACACUCCGUUUUUUCUUUAUUUGUGCAUCCGGAACUUUUCUUUCUUUUCUUUGUCUUCUUUUUAGUUAAACUAGCAUACCUACAUGCGCAAUGCGAUUAGUUCAAAGGGAAAAAGAGCGGAAAAAGAUAAUAGAAAAAGAUGUAUAUUGCUGACAAAAUUUAACGACGACAUUCAAAAGAAUUAAAC
rnacentral:lncRNA from 1 species